CCGUCAAUUCAUUUGAGUUUUAAUCUUGCGACCGUACUCCCCAGGCGGUCAACUUAAUGCGUUAGCUGCGGGNCAGAGGGGAUNAACACCCCCUACACCUAGUUGACAUCGUUUACGGNGUGGACUACCAGGGUAUCUAAUCCUGUUUGCUCCCCACGCUUUCGCGCCUCANCGUCAGUAUCUAGCCAGAAAGUCGCCUUCGCCACCGGUAUUCCUCCCGAUAUCUACGAAUUUCACCUCUACACCGGGAAUUCCACUUUCCCCUCUAGUACUCAAGUCUGACAGUUUCAAAUGCACUUCCAUGGUUGAGCCAUGGGCUUUCACAUCUGACUUACCAAACCGNNUGNGCGCCCUUUACGCCCAGUGAUUCCAAACAACGCUUGCACCCUCCGUAUUACCGCGGCUGCUGGACGGAGUUAGCCGGUGCUUCCUUUGAAGGNCCGNCAAACUAAAUAGGNAUUAACCAUCUANCACUUCUUCCUUCUGACAGAACUUUACNACCCGAAGGGC
rnacentral:rRNA from 1 species